rnacentral:rRNA from 1 species
UACGAAGGGGGCUAGCGUUGCUCGGAAUCACUGGGCGUAAAGCGCACGUAGGCGGAUUGUUAAGUCAGGGGUGAAAUCCUGGAGCUCAACUCCAGAACUGCCUUUGAUACUGGCGAUCUUGAGUCCGGGAGAGGUGAGUGGAACUGCGAGUGUAGAGGUGAAAUUCGUAGAUAUUCGCAAGAACACCAGUGGCGAAGGCGGCUCACUGGCCCGCAACUGACGCUGAGACGCGAAAGCGUGGGGAGCAAACAGG